CAGUUUGAACACAAAAGGCUCUAUGGAAGAAAUGCCUCUUUGUAGGUGAAGUGUUAUCUCUGCAUGCAACAGUUUUGAGGGCAGUAAAAAGGCAUUAAAUCAAGACAAAUCAUGUGCUUGAGGGAAAAAAAAAAAUUUAAUGAAAACACAGCACUUAUGUUGGUUUAGCUGCAGCCUCCUUGGAGGUAGAAUUUAUUUAUUUAAAAUUACUGGUUGCAUCAAGAACCCA
rnacentral:lncRNA from 1 species